rnacentral:rRNA from 1 species
UAUCUCUGUAGAGUCUGCAUAUCAAUAAGCGGAGGAAAAGAAACUAACUAGGAUUCCCUCAGUAACGGCGAGUGAAGCGGGAAGAGCUCAAAUUUGAAAUCUUCAAGGUUUUACCUUGACGAAUUGUAGUUUAAAGAAGUGUUUUCUGUUGGAGUUUUGGUAAAAGUUCUUUGGAAUAGGACAUCAUAGAGGGUGAGAAUCCCGUAUUUGACCAUUAUUUCCAGCUUUGUGAUACACUUUCAAAGAGUCGGAUUGUUUGGGAAUGCAGUCCAAAAUGGGUGGUAAAUUUCAUCUAAAGCUAAAUACUGGCGAGAGACCGAUAGCGAACAAGUACCGUGAGGGAAAGAUGAAAAGAACUUUGAAAAGAGAGUUAAACAGUACGUGAAAUUGUCAAAAGGGAAGCGUUUGACACCAGUGUUGUUUUCUCGAAAAUCAAUUAAAAAUGGCGGGAUUUUGUGUUGUAUUGACUUUAUCAGCUUUCUGCACUUUUUUCCUGUCUUUUUUAACGCACUUUUCGUUUAACAAGUCAACAUCAAUUUCUUUUGUUGUAAAAGGGUCAUUGGAAGGUGGCUUUCUUUUCGGAGAAAGUGUUUAUAGCCUUUGGCCUCUGCAAUCGGAGAGAUUGAGGUCUGCAGCGUAGAUCCUUCGGGGUUAGAUACAUUUGUGCUAAGUUAUAGCCUUUCAUAGACAACUUGUUGACUAUGAUCAGUCAUGUAGCUUACUCGCUUAUGCUAUUUUACCUACGCUUAGGAUGUUGAGUCAUCACACAUCUCU